rnacentral:rRNA from 1 species
GACGAACGCUGGCGGCGUGCCUAAUACAUGCAAGUAGAACGCACAGUUUAUACCGUAGCUUGCUACACCAUAGACUGUGAGUUGCGAACGGGUGAGUAACGCGUAGGUAACCUGCCUGGUAGCGGGGGAUAACUAUUGGAAACGAUAGCUAAUACCGCAUAAUAUUAAUUAUUGCAUGAUAAUUGAUUGAAAGGUGCAAAUGCAUCACUACCAGAUGGACCUGCGUUGUAUUAGCUAGUAGGUGAGGUAACGGCUCACCUAGGCGACGAUACAUAGCCGACCUGAGAGGGUGAUCGGCCACACUGGGACUGAGACACGGCCCAGACUCCUACGGGAGGCAGCAGUAGGGAAUCUUCGGCAAUGGACGAAAGUCUGACCGAGCAACGCCGCGUGAGUGAAGAAGGUUUUCGGAUCGUAAAGCUCUGUUGUAAGAGAAGAACGGGUGUGAGAGUGGAAAGUUCACACUGUGACGGUACCUUACCAGAAAGGGACGGCUAACUACGUGCCAGCAGCCGCGGUAAUACGUAGGUCCCGAGCGUUGUCCGGAUUUAUUGGGCGUAAAGCGAGCGCAGGCGGUUAGAUAAGUCUGAAGUUAAAGGCUGUGGCUUAACCAUAGUACGCUUUGGAAACUGUUUAACUUGAGUGCAGAAGGGGAGAGUGGAAUUCCAUGUGUAGCGGUGAAAUGCGUAGAUAUAUGGAGGAACACCGGUGGCGAAAGCGGCUCUCUGGUCUGUAACUGACGCUGAGGCUCGAAAGCGUGGGGAGCGAACAGG